GGUUCGAUCCUGGCUCAGAUUGAACGCUGGCGGGAUGCUUACACAUGCAAGUCGAACGGUGCACGGACUUCGGUCUGGUGGCGAGUGGCGAACGGGUGAGUAAUGUAUCGGAACGUGCCUAGUAGCGGGGAUAACUACGCGAAAGCGUAGCUAAAACUGCAUACCCUUCGGGGGAAAGCGGGGACCUUCGGGCCUCGCACUAUUAGAGCGGCCGAUAUCGGAUUAGCUAGUUGGUGGGGUAACGGCUCACCAAGGCGACGAUCCGUAGCUGGUUUGAGAGGACGACCAGCCACACUGGGACUGAGACACGGCCCAGACUCCUACGGAGGCAGCAGGGGGAAUUUGGGACAAUGGGAAACCCUGAUCCAACCAGCCCGCGUGUGCGAUGAAGGCCUUCGGGUUGUAAAGCACUUUUUGGUGAAAGAAACGGCACGGGAUAAUACCCCGUGCAACCGACGGUACUCAAGAAUAAGCACCGGCUAACUACGUGCCAGCAGCCGCGGUAAUACGUAGGGUGCAAGUGUUAAUCGGAAUUACUGGGCGUAAAGCGUGCGCAGGCGGUUCGGAAAGAAAGAUGUGAAAUCCCAGAGCUUAACUUUGGAACUGCAUUUUUAACUACCGAGCUAGAGUGUGUCAGAGGGAGGUGGAAUUCCGCGCAGCAGUGAAUGCGUAGAUAUGCGGAGGAACACCGAUGGCGAAGGCAGCCUCCCGGGGGAUAACACUGACGCUCUAUGCACGAAAGCGUGGGGAGCAAACAGGAUUAGAUACUCCCCUGGUAGUCCACGCCCUAAACGAUGUCAACUAGCUGUUGGGGCUUUCGGGCCUUGGUAGCGCAGCUAACGCGUGGUGCUGACCGCCUGGGAGUACGGUCGCAAGAUUAAAACUCAAAGAAUUGACGGGGACCGCACAAGCGGUGGAUGAUGUGAUUAAUUCGAUGGCACGCGAAAAACCUUACCUACCUUUGACAUGUCUGGAAUCCCGAAGAGAUUUGGGAGUGCUCGCAAGAGAACCGGAACACAGGUGCUGCAUGGCUGUCGUCAGCUCGUGUCGUGAGAUGUUGGGUUAAGUCCCGGCAACGAGCGCAACCCCUGUCAUUAGUUGCUGAAAGGGCACUCUAUCGAGACUGCCGGUGACAAACCGGAGGAAGGUGGGGAUGACGUCAAGUCCUCAUGGCUCCCAGGGUAGGGCUUCACACGUCAUACAAUGGUCGGGACAGAGGGUCGCCAACCCGCGAGGGGGAGCCAAUCCCAGAAACCUGAUCAGGUCCGGAUCGUAGUCUGCAACUCGACUGCGUGAAGUCGGAAUCGCGAAUAAUCGCGGAUCAGCAUGUCGCAGUGAAUACGUUCCCGGGUCUUGUACACACCCGCCCGUCACACCAUGGGAGUGGGUUUUACCAGAAGUAGUUAGCCUAACCGUAAGGAGGGCGAUUACCACGGUAGAUUCAUGACUGGGGUGAAGUCGUAACAAGGUAG
rnacentral:rRNA from 1 species